AGUUUUUUGCAGUGGCAGUAUUGCAGCCAAUGAGGUUUAUCUGAGGGGUGAUUAUUGCUCUUUGAAAAUUGAAAAAAAAAAAAAAAAGACAUGACAUUUGCAUACAUUCUUUUUUUUUUUUUUUUUUUGAGAUGGAGUCUUGCUCU